rnacentral:rRNA from 1 species
GGUUAAGCGACUAAGCGUACACGGUGGAUGCCCUGGCAGUCAGAGGCGAUGAAGGACGUGCUAAUCUGCGAUAAGCGUCGGUAAGGUGAUAUGAACCGUUAUAACCGGCGAUUUCCGAAUGGGGAAACCCAGUGUGUUUCGACACACUAUCAUUAACUGAAUCCAUAGGUUAAUGAGGCGAACCGGGGGAACUGAAACAUCUAAGUACCCCGAGGAAAAGAAAUCAACCGAGAUUCCCCCAGUAGCGGCGAGCGAACGGGGAGCAGCCCAGAGCCUGAAUCAGUGUGUGUGUUAGUGGAAGCGUCUGGAAAGGCGCGCGAUACAGGGUGACAGCCCCGUACACAAAAAUGCACAUGCUGUGAGCUCGAUGAGUAGGGCGGGACACGUGGUAUCCUGUCUGAAUAUGGGGGGACCAUCCUCCAAGGCUAAAUACUCCUGACUGACCGAUAGUGAACCAGUACCGUGAGGGAAAGGCGAAAAGAACCCCGGCGAGGGGAGUGAAAAAGAACCUGAAACCGUGUACGUACAAGCAGUGGGAGCACGCUUAGGCGUGUGACUGCGUACCUUUUGUAUAAUGGGUCAGCGACUUAUAUUCUGUAGCAAGGUUAACCGAAUAGGGGAGCCGAAGGGAAACCGAGUCUUAACUGGGCGUUAAGUUGCAGGGUAUAGACCCGAAACCCGGUGAUCUAGCCAUGGGCAGGUUGAAGGUUGGGUAACACUAACUGGAGGACCGAACCGACUAAUGUUGAAAAAUUAGCGGAUGACUUGUGGCUGGGGGUGAAAGGCCAAUCAAACCGGGAGAUAGCUGGUUCUCCCCGAAAGCUAUUUAGGUAGCGCCUCGUGAAUUCAUCUCCGGGGGUAGAGCACUGUUUCGGCAAGGGGGUCAUCCCGACUUACCAACCCGAUGCAAACUGCGAAUACCGGAGAAUGUUAUCACGGGAGACACACGGCGGGUGCUAACGUCCGUCGUGAAGAGGGAAACAACCCAGACCGCCAGCUAAGGUCCCAAAGUCAUGGUUAAGUGGGAAACGAUGUGGGAAGGCCCAGACAGCCAGGAUGUUGGCUUAGAAGCAGCCAUCAUUUAAAGAAAGCGUAAUAGCUCACUGGUCGAGUCGGCCUGCGCGGAAGAUGUAACGGGGCUAAACCAUGCACCGAAGCUGCGGCAGCGACGCUUAUGCGUUGUUGGGUAGGGGAGCGUUCUGUAAGCCUGCGAAGGUGUGCUGUGAGGCAUGCUGGAGGUAUCAGAAGUGCGAAUGCUGACAUAAGUAACGAUAAAGCGGGUGAAAAGCCCGCUCGCCGGAAGACCAAGGGUUCCUGUCCAACGUUAAUCGGGGCAGGGUGAGUCGACCCCUAAGGCGAGGCCGAAAGGCGUAGUCGAUGGGAAACAGGUUAAUAUUCCUGUACUUGGUGUUACUGCGAAGGGGGGACGGAGAAGGCUAUGUUGGCCGGGCGACGGUUGUCCCGGUUUAAGCGUGUAGGCUGGUUUUCCAGGCAAAUCCGGAAAAUCAAGGCUGAGGCGUGAUGACGAGGCACUACGGUGCUGAAGCAACAAAUGCCCUGCUUCCAGGAAAAGCCUCUAAGCAUCAGGUAACAUCAAAUCGUACCCCAAACCGACACAGGUGGUCAGGUAGAGAAUACCAAGGCGCUUGAGAGAACUCGGGUGAAGGAACUAGGCAAAAUGGUGCCGUAACUUCGGGAGAAGGCACGCUGAUAUGUAGGUGAAGUCCCUCGCGGAUGGAGCUGAAAUCAGUCGAAGAUACCAGCUGGCUGCAACUGUUUAUUAAAAACACAGCACUGUGCAAACACGAAAGUGGACGUAUACGGUGUGACGCCUGCCCGGUGCCGGAAGGUUAAUUGAUGGGGUUAGCCGCAAGGCGAAGCUCUUGAUCGAAGCCCCGGUAAACGGCGGCCGUAACUAUAACGGUCCUAAGGUAGCGAAAUUCCUUGUCGGGUAAGUUCCGACCUGCACGAAUGGCGUAAUGAUGGCCAGGCUGUCUCCACCCGAGACUCAGUGAAAUUGAACUCGCUGUGAAGAUGCAGUGUACCCGCGGCAAGACGGAAAGACCCCGUGAACCUUUACUAUAGCUUGACACUGAACAUUGAGCCUUGAUGUGUAGGAUAGGUGGGAGGCUUUGAAGUGUGGACGCCAGUCUGCAUGGAGCCGACCUUGAAAUACCACCCUUUAAUGUUUGAUGUUCUAACGUUGACCCGUAAUCCGGGUUGCGGACAGUGUCUGGUGGGUAGUUUGACUGGGGCGGUCUCCUCCUAAAGAGUAACGGAGGAGCACGAAGGUUGGCUAAUCCUGGUCGGACAUCAGGAGGUUAGUGCAAUGGCAUAAGCCAGCUUGACUGCGAGCGUGACGGCGCGAGCAGGUGCGAAAGCAGGUCAUAGUGAUCCGGUGGUUCUGAAUGGAAGGGCCAUCGCUCAACGGAUAAAAGGUACUCCGGGGAUAACAGGCUGAUACCGCCCAAGAGUUCAUAUCGACGGCGGUGUUUGGCACCUCGAUGUCGGCUCAUCACAUCCUGGGGCUGAAGUAGGUCCCAAGGGUAUGGCUGUUCGCCAUUUAAAGUGGUACGCGAGCUGGGUUUAGAACGUCGUGAGACAGUUCGGUCCCUAUCUGCCGUGGGCGCUGGAGAACUGAGGGGGGCUGCUCCUAGUACGAGAGGACCGGAGUGGACGCAUCACUGGUGUUCGGGUUGUCAUGCCAAUGGCACUGCCCGGUAGCUAAAUGCGGAAGAGAUAAGUGCUGAAAGCAUCUAAGCACGAAACUUGCCCCGAGAUGAGUUCUCCCUGACCCUUUAAGGGUCCUGAAGGAACGUUGAAGACGACGACGUUGAUAGGCCGGGUGUGUAAGCGCAGCGAUGCGUUGAGCUAACCGGUACUAAUGAACCGUGAGGCUUAACCUU